rnacentral:misc_RNA from 1 species
UCCCCCCCAGCCACUAGGAUCUUUGAUGCAGACACCAAGGAAACUUCAUAUAUAGGUCAUGAUUACCUAAGCUUGUAAUGCUUUAUUAUUCAGUUUUUUAGUGAAUAAAAUCCCUGCAAUUGUGCUUCUUGAGUUGAAUGGUGUAAUUAUAGUUCUAGAAAGUUUGAGGCCUUCUCGAUAGGAAUAAGCCCCGGACGUGCUUUUGUUUGCUUACUAUUUCCUUUCGCGAAGAUUACAAAAUCUGCAGUCAUCUUCAAGCCAGAAUUUCCUGAGAUCGACAAUUUCACAGUUUUUCUUUGUUUUAAAGUCUUCCUAAUUGUUCUCAAUUACUUGUGCUGCUGA